rnacentral:rRNA from 1 species
AAGUAUCGAUGACAAUAUAGUUAUAACAUCAAACAGUAAUUUAAAGGGGUUAUUAAGGAAAAACUAGCAAAUUUAUAAAAAAGGAGGGCACAUGUCCAAAAGCCACAAUUCACUAUAAAGGUGAUCUAUGAUUAGAAUAAAAUUUAAUUAUAGUUAAAAAAUGUAGGCGAUCCUAAGGGAAACCUUUAUAUCUAAACUUCCCGAAGUAAAACAUUUCAUUAGGGAAAGGAAAGGAAAUCAACCGAGACUCCGAAAGUAAUGGCGAGUGAAAUCGGAAAAGCCUAAAAAGUCUGUAAAGUUCAAACAAUAAUACCUACCAGUAACCAAAGAAGGUAAAUAAGUCCUGUAUGUUAAACUUUACUUCUCUUUUCAAUAGAAAAGAAAUCCAAAAUAAGUACGACGAGAGUAAACUUGUUGGAAUAUAGGGGAACCAUCCUCUAAGGCUAAGUAUUUAUAAAUUUAGCGAUAGUGAAAAAGUACCGUAAGGGAAAGUUUGAAAUAGCUAUGUAUUAUUAGACAUAAAUGAAACAGUUGAAUUAGUAACUCUAUAAGCAGUCGAAAUUUAUCAUUAUAAAUGACGGCGUACCUUUUGCAUAAUGGGUCAGCAAGUUAAUAGGAGUAGCAAGGUUAAAAGCCUUAGUGAAAGCGACCACACUAACUAGCUAAUAGUAUUUAUAUUUAAAAUUUUAAAUAUGAAUAGGAUAUCCUUCAAUAAAAUGAAGUUUAAUAUUUUCUAGGAAUAGUAAUGGAUAAGUUACUUCUAUUAGACCCGAAGCUAGGUGAUCUUCCUAAGACCAGAUUAUAAUGGAUCGAACGGGUGAAUGUAGCAAAAUUCUCCGAAGAGUUUUAGGAAGCGGUGAAAUGCCAAUCUGACCUAGUGAUAGCUGGUUUUCUACGAAACAUAUGUAAGUAUGACAUCUAAACAAGAUUUAUGGUGGUACAGCACUGAGUUCCCAACUUUCUAAGUUUAGGUUGCGGGGACCUCGAAAAUCUUACCAAUGGAAGAGAAUCUCGGAAUGACAUAAAUUGAUGUUAGAUAUUCAGACUGCUCAUGCGAAGUUGGGUAGUCAAGACGGAAACAGCCGAGAACACGAAACAAGGUCCCAAAUGAUUUUUAAGUGAAAUGAAGGAAGUAAUAUAUUGAAAGCAGCUGUAAAGUGAGCCUGGUAGUCGCUAUCUUUUAAUAAACGUAAUGUAACAACGUAGCAGCCAAAUUUUAGAAUAUUACGCCAAAAAUUUAACGGGUCUAAAAAAAUCAACCGAUAUCGUGUUUAUUUUGAAUACCAAUAUCGUAUUCAAUAUACAGGUAGUAGAACAUUCAGGAUACUGAUGAUAAAACAGUGUUUCAUUGUUUUUAGGUCACUGAAGAGAGAAUGCUGACAUGAGUAACGUAAAAAGAAGUUAUAAUACUUCUCGCCGAAUACGAAAGGGUUAUAAGGAAAGGUUAAACCGCCUUAUGUUAAUGCGGCCUCUAAGGACCAAAACCAAAGUUUUGGCUGAUGAGUAUGAAAUAGAAAGUCCUCUAAAUAAUAAAAUUAAAUAAGAGGACCAGGAAAAUAAUAUUUAGUAAGAAAAAUUUAUUUUUUCUUUUCACUACCGUACCCUAAACCGACACAGGUUCGUAAGUAGAGAAUACUAAGGCGUAGAGCUAAAAGUUGUUAAGGAACUCGGCAAGUUCUCCUCAUAAGUUUGACGAAAAGAGGAACCCCUAAAACAAAUAAAAAGGGGUGGCACAAAAUCGGAGGCCCCGACUGUUUACUAAAAACACAAUUCAGAGCAAUGAUGAAAAAUCAUAGUAUUCUGGAUGAAAUUUGCCCAAUGCCAUUAACAUAAAAGAGGUUAUAGGUAACUGUAACUAAUUGAAAGUCUGGUUAAUAGCGGUCUUAACUAUGAGGAUCCAAAGGUAGCAAAAUAAAUUGGCCAUUAAAUGUGGUCUGGUAUCAAUAGUGUAACGAUGGUCUCACUGUCUCUACAACUUGCUCAGUGAAAUUGAAUUACCCGUGCAGAUGCGGGUUGCCUCCAGGUGGACGGGAAGACCCUAUGCAGCUUUACUGUAGUUAGCUAUCAUAUUGAUCUACAACAACCUUUGUUAAUAGGAAUUAGGGAUGUCGAUAGACGAAAGAUGGAAUACCUUCUGACUUUGGUUGGGUUAAUAUUUACCUUGUAAUGAAUAAAUCAUUUAAGGGAUAGGUGGCUAAUUGGCAGUUUGACUGGGGCGGUCGUCUUUGAUAAAGUAGCAAAGUACAUCCAAAGAUAUUUUCUUUAUUUUCUCUAUAUUUUUUUUUAUAGAGAAUAGAAAAAACAUAGUAAAUGUUUAAACUAUGUAUUAAUAUAAAUAAUGGCUUGUACAUUAUUUGUAUUUUGAUUAACAUAAGGUAGAGCUAGAUAAUUGAAUGGAAAUCAAUCAACCAGUGAGAAAGGUUGUAAUCGGCGUAAUGGCGGAAAGCAUGCCUAACUGAAAGACUUAGAAGUCGAACAGAUACGUAAGUAGGGCAUAGUGACCCUUCGCUAUAUUAUGGAAUAGACGGGGAUCAAUCGAUAAAAGUUACGCUAGGGAUAACAGGCUGAUAGCUGGUGAGAGUACACAUUGUCCCGGCUGAUUGGCACCUUGAAAAUUAUAAAAAACAAAAACAUACCAACGAAUAUCAAAUUAUACACUAAAUACAAAUGUAAUAGUCCCAAUAAAUUGUUUGUUAUUUACGAGGUAUGCUUACUGCCGUCGAAAGGCGUCGGUUUGAAAAAGUAAAUAGCAAGGGACUGUUCUUAAUAUCGAUAAGAGCACUUAAAAAAAAAAUUUUUUAAAAAGAUUAAGCCUCUUAAUAGUUGGAGGAGUAUAUUUUUUUAUACUAAUAUUGCGAUGUCGACUCAACCUAUCCUCCGGGGGUAGAAGCUUGGAAGGGUUCGGCUGUUCGCCGAUUAAAAGGUUACGCGAGUUGGGUUUAAUACGACGUGAGUCAGUAUGGUCCCUAUCUUCUGGAGGGAUAAAUAGUAAAAAGGGGCAGACCUUCUAGUACGAAAGGAUCAAUAGGCUGUGUUUCUCUAGUGUACCAAUUGUU